rnacentral:lncRNA from 1 species
AAGCUGGCCAAAACCGUCUGUUGGCUGACAUGGAUGGUCAGAUCUCAUUUGGAAGUGGCACCGGAAAGAGAACUCAUCUCAAUGCUCUCAUUGAUAAAGGGAAUUUCGACGCCAAUGUUGCUGGUGGAGCUGCCAGAAACAGUGUUAACUGUUGGUCUCUUUCGAAUGGAGAUGUCGUGGUAUGUGCCUGCAUAUCGUUUGGGUCAAAGCGUACCAUUUAUAUCUGUCACAAGUGCGCCAAGUUCUGCUUCAGAUAGUAUUUCUGUGUUUUCACUCCUAUAACUAUAUUCUGAAAGUUUUGGAAAUUUGAGUAUGUUAUUGUCUUUGGUUCAUAUAAUAUCGUAUAGGAUAUACAUACUGGAAAGUUAUAAUCAUGUGUUUGAUUGACUUUCACUUGUGUUUCUUUCC